GGUUAAGCGACUAAGCGUACACGGUGGAUGCCCUGGCAGUCAGAGGCGAUGAAGGGCGUGCUAAUCUGCGAUAAGCGCCGGUAAGGUGAUAUGAACCGUUAUAACCGGCGAUACCCGAAUGGGGAAACCCAGUGUGAUUCGUCACACUAUCAUUAACUGAAUCCAUAGGUUAAUGAGGCGAACCGGGGGAACUGAAACAUCUAAGUACCCCGAGGAAAAGAAAUCAACCGAGAUUCCCCCAGUAGCGGCGAGCGAACGGGGAGGAGCCCAGAGCCUGAAUCAGCAUGUGUGUUAGUGGAAGCGUCUGGAAAGGCGCGCGAUACAGGGUGACAGCCCCGUACACAAAAGCGCAUGUGCUGUGAGCUCGAUGAGUAGGGCGGGACACGUGGUAUCCUGUCUGAAUAUGGGGGGACCAUCCUCCAAGGCUAAAUACUCCUGACUGACCGAUAGUGAACCAGUACCGUGAGGGAAAGGCGAAAAGAACCCCGGCGAGGGGAGUGAAAAAGAACCUGAAACCGUGUACGUACAAGCAGUGGGAGCCCCACCACUAAGCCAGUGGUGAACUCCACAUCCGCAUCCUUUGCUGAGGAUACGGUUAACGGAGCGAAAGCGACGUUCAACCGCAAAACAAGCAGAGGGGGCUUAGUGGUGGGGUGACUGCGUACCUUUUGUAUAAUGGGUCAGCGACUUAUAUUCUGUAGCAAGGUUAACCGAAUAGGGGAGCCGGAGGGAAACCGAGUCUUAAUUGGGCGUUAAGUUGCAGGGUAUAGACCCGAAACCCGGUGAUCUAGCCAUGGGCAGGUUGAAGGUUGGGUAACACUAACUGGAGGACCGAACCGACUAAUGUUGAAAAAUUAGCGGAUGACCUGUGGCUGGGGGUGAAAGGCCAAUCAAACCGGGAGAUAGCUGGUUCUCCCCGAAAGCUAUUUAGGUAGCGCCUCGUGAAUUCAUCUCCGGGGGUAGAGCACUGUUUCGGCUAGGGGGCCAUCCCGGCUUACCAACCCGAUGCAAACUGCGAAUACCGGAGAAUGUUAUCACGGGAGACACACGGCGGGUGCUAACGUCCGUCGUGAAGAGGGAAACAACCCAGACCGCCAGCUAAGGUCCCAAAGUCAUGGUUAAGUGGGAAACGAUGUGGGAAGGCCCAGACAGCCAGGAUGUUGGCUUAGAAGCAGCCAUCAUUUAAAGAAAGCGUAAUAGCUCACUGGUCGAGUCGGCCUGCGCGGAAGAUGUAACGGGGCUAAACCAUGCACCGAAGCUGCGGCAGCGAACGUAUCACUUAAAGCGAUUCAGCGGGUUACGAUUGACGGAGCGAAGCGACGUCAAAGCGUAUACAAAGUCGAGUCGGUUUAAGGAUACGUUCGUUGGGUAGGGGAGCGUUCUGUAAGCCCGUGAAGGUGGCCUGUGAGGGUUGCUGGAGGUAUCAGAAGUGCGAAUGCUGACAUAAGUAACGAUAAAGCGGGUGAAAAGCCCGCUCGCCGGAAGACCAAGGGUUCCUGUCCAACGUUAAUCGGGCAGGGUGAGUCGACCCCUAAGGCGAGGCCGAAAGGCGUAGUCGAUGGGAAAACGGGUUAAUAUUCCCGUACUUGGUGUUACUGCGAAGGGGGGACGGAGAAGGCUAUGUUGGCCGGGCGACGGUUGUCCCGGUUUAAGCGUGUAGGUGUGUGUUCCAGGUAAAUCCGGUUCACUUUAACACUGAGGCGUGAUGACGAGGCACUACGGUGCUGAAGCAACAAAUGCCCUGCUUCCAGGAAAAGCCUCUAAGCAUCAGGUAACAUCAAAUCGUACCCCAAACCGACACAGGUGGUCAGGUAGAGAAUACCAAGGCGCUUGAGAGAACUCGGGUGAAGGAACUAGGCAAAAUGGUGCCGUAACUUCGGGAGAAGGCACGCUGACACGUAGGUGAAGUGAUUUACUCACGGAGCUGAAGUCAGUCGAAGAUACCAGCUGGCUGCAACUGUUUAUUAAAAACACAGCACUGUGCAAACACGAAAGUGGACGUAUACGGUGUGACGCCUGCCCGGUGCCGGAAGGUUAAUUGAUGGGGUCAGCGCAAGCGAAGCUCCUGAUCGAAGCCCCGGUAAACGGCGGCCGUAACUAUAACGGUCCUAAGGUAGCGAAAUUCCUUGUCGGGUAAGUUCCGACCUGCACGAAUGGCGUAAUGAUGGCCAGGCUGUCUCCACCCGAGACUCAGUGAAAUUGAACUCGCUGUGAAGAUGCAGUGUACCCGCGGCAAGACGGAAAGACCCCGUGAACCUUUACUAUAGCUUGACACUGAACAUUGAGCCUUGAUGUGUAGGAUAGGUGGGAGGCUUUGAAGUGUGGACGCCAGUCUGCAUGGAGCCGACCUUGAAAUACCACCCUUUAAUGUUUGAUGUUCUAACGUGGACCCGUAAUCCGGGUUGCGGACAGUGUCUGGUGGGUAGUUUGACUGGGGCGGUCUCCUCCUAAAGAGUAACGGAGGAGCACGAAGGUUGGCUAAUCCUGGUCGGACAUCAGGAGGUUAGUGCAAUGGCAUAAGCCAGCUUGACUGCGAGCGUGACGGCGCGAGCAGGUGCGAAAGCAGGUCAUAGUGAUCCGGUGGUUCUGAAUGGAAGGGCCAUCGCUCAACGGAUAAAAGGUACUCCGGGGAUAACAGGCUGAUACCGCCCAAGAGUUCAUAUCGACGGCGGUGUUUGGCACCUCGAUGUCGGCUCAUCACAUCCUGGGGCUGAAGUAGGUCCCAAGGGUAUGGCUGUUCGCCAUUUAAAGUGGUACGCGAGCUGGGUUUAGAACGUCGUGAGACAGUUCGGUCCCUAUCUGCCGUGGGCGCUGGAGAACUGAGGGGGGCUGCUCCUAGUACGAGAGGACCGGAGUGGACGCAUCACUGGUGUUCGGGUUGUCAUGCCAAUGGCACUGCCCGGUAGCUAAAUGCGGAAGAGAUAAGUGCUGAAAGCAUCUAAGCACGAAACUUGCCCCGAGAUGAGUUCUCCCUGAGACUUAGAGUCUCCUGAAGGAACGUUGAAGACGACGACGUUGAUAGGCCGGGUGUGUAAGCGCAGCGAUGCGUUGAGCUAACCGGUACUAAUGAACCGUGAGGCUUAACCUU
rnacentral:rRNA from 1 species